rnacentral:rRNA from 1 species
UGGGGAAUUUUGGACAAUGGGCGCAAGCCUGAUCCAGCAAUGCCGCGUGCAGGAUGAAGGCCGUCGGGUUGUAAACUGCUUUUGUACGGAGCGAAAAGGUCUGCCCUAAUACGGUGGGCUCAUGUCGGUACCGUAAGAAUAAGCACCGGCUAACUACGUGCCAGCAGCCGCGGUAAUACGUAGGGUGCGAGCGUUAAUCGGAAUUACUGGGCGUAAAGCGUGCGCAGGCGGUUAUAUAAGACAGAUGUGAAAUCCCCGGGCUCCACCUGUGACCUGCAUUUGUGACUGUAUCGCUAGAAUACAGUACAGGUGGAUGGAAUUCCGCGUGUAGCAGUGAAAUGCGUAGCUAUGCGGAGGAACACCGAUGGCGAAGGCAAUCCCCUGGGCCUGUACUGACGCUCAUGCCCGGAAGCGUAGGGAGCAAACA